rnacentral:rRNA from 2 species
UGCAGCCAUGCCGCGUGUAUGAAGAAGGCCUUCGGGUUGUAAAGUACUUUCAGCGGGGAGGAAGGGAGUAAAGUUAAUACCUUUGCUCAUUGACGUUACCCGCAGAAGAAGCACCGGCUAACUCCGUGCCAGCAGCCGCGGUAAU